rnacentral:rRNA from 1 species
AACGAACGCUGGCGGCGUGGAUAAGACAUGCAAGUCGAACGGGAUUAUUUUUGUAGCAAUACAGAAAUAAUUCAGUGGCGAACGGGUGCGUAACACGUGGGCAAUCUGCCGAAAAGUGGGGNUAGCUCGCCGAAAGGCGAAUUAAUACCGCAUGUGGUGAGGGACGACAUCUUCCUGAAUCCAAAGCCGGGGCAACCUGGCGCUUUUUGUAGGAGCCCGCGGCCUAUCAGCUAGUUGGCGGGGUAACGGCCCACCAAGGCUAUGACGGGUAGCUGGUCUGAGAGGACGACCAGUCACACUGGAACUGAGACACGGUCCAGACACCUACGGGUGGCAGCAGUCGA